rnacentral:rRNA from 1 species
GAUGAACGCUAGCGGGAGGCUUAACACAUGCAAGUCGAGGGGCAUCACGGGGUAGCAAUACUCUGGUGGCGACCGGCGCACGGGUGAGUAACACGUAUGCAACCUACCUCGUACAGGGGGAUAACCCGGAGAAAUUCGGACUAAUAUCCCAUAAUGAUAUUGAAAGGCAUCUUUUAAUAUUUAAAGCUCAGGCGGUACGGGAUGGGCAUGCGGAACAUUAGCUAGUUGGCAGGGUAACGGCCUACCAAGGCAUUGAUGUUUAGGGGUCCUGAGAGGGUGAUCCCCCACACUGGUACUGAGAUACGGACCAGACACCUACGGGUGGCAG